GAUGAACGCUGGCGGCGUGCCUAAUACAUGCAAGUCGAGCGAACAGAUAAGGAGCUUGCUCCUUUGACGUUAGCGGCGGACGGGUGAGUAACACGUGGGUAACCUACCUAUAAGACUGGGAUAACUUCGGGAAACCGGAGCUAAUACCGGAUAACAUUUGGAACCGCAUGGUUCUAAAGUGAAAGAUGGUUUUGCUAUCACUUAUAGAUGGACCCGCGCCGUAUUAGCUAGUUGGUAAGGUAACGGCUUACCAAGGCAACGAUACGUAGCCGACCUGAGAGGGUGAUCGGCCACACUGGAACUGAGACACGGUCCAGACUCCUACGGGAGGCAGCAGUAGGGAAUCUUCUGCAAUGGGCGAAAGCCUGACGGAGCAACGCCGCGUGAGUGAUGAAGGGUUUCGGCUCGUAAAACUCUGUUAUUAGGGAAGAACAAACGUGUAAGUAACUGUGCACGUCUUGACGGUACCUAAUCAGAAAGCCACGGCUAACUACGUG
rnacentral:rRNA from 1 species